UACGGAGGGAGCUAGCGUUGUUCGGAAUUACUGGGCGUAAAGCGCACGUAGGCGGCUAUUCAAGUCGGGGGUGAAAGCCCGGGGCUCAACCCCGGAACUGCCCUCGAAACUAGAUAGCUAGAAUCUUGGAGAGGCGAGUGGAAUUCCGAGUGUAGAGGUGAAAUUCGUAGAUAUUCGGAAGAACACCAGUGGCGAAGGCGACUCACUGGCCCGGUACUGACGCUGAGGUGCGAAAGCGUGGGGAGCAAACAGG
rnacentral:rRNA from 1 species